ACGGGAGGCAGCAGUGGGGAAUAUUGCACAAUGGGCGCAAGCCUGAUGCAGCGAUGCCGCGUGAGGGAAGAAGGUUUUCGGAUUGUAAACCUCUGUCAUCGGGGACGAUAAUGACUGUACCCGAGAAGGAAGCUCCGGCUAACUACGUGCCAGCAGCCGCGGUAAUACGUAGGGAGCGAGCGUUAUCCGGAAUUACUGGGUGUAAAGGGAGUGUAGGCGGGACUGUAAGUCAGAUGUGAAAUAUACCGGCUCAACUGGUAGACUGCAUUUGAAACUGUUGAUCUUGAGUAUCGGAGAGGCAAUCGGAAUUCCUUGUGUAGCGGUGAAAUGCGUAGAUAUAAGGAGGAACACCAGUGGCGAAGGCGGAUUGCUGGACGACAACUGACGGUGAGGCGCGAAAGCGUGGGGAGCAAACAGGAUUAGAUACCCUGGUA
rnacentral:rRNA from 1 species